CUGGGGAACUGAGGGGCCCCUGAACCUGCCACCCUAACAGAUAUUGCUAAAUAAAACAAUAAAAUGAAAGAAUGCACUCUGGGUCCCACCUUAGGAGACAUGACUGAUUUAACUUGGAGGAGAGGGAAAGGGGAUAAGAAAUGUUUUUCUUUUUGUUUUUGUGGUUUUUUGCUUUUUUGCAGUUGGCAGAGGUGAAGGGAUGAAACAACCCAUUUCUUGCAAGUGAUCUGAUGGAUGUAUCACGUGUCAACAAAGAACAAAGAAAUACUUCCCCUCCUGUUCUUGAAUGCAAUGCCCCUUUUCAAGCAUUUCGGCUCUGCUAGUAUUUCAAAUUUAAAUCCAAGGUCAUUUCUCUGGGCAGGAGGUCACUCUUAUGUUUCUAGAACAGAAAAGAAAAAAGUACAAAAGCCCCGAAAAGCCCUGCACACAAAGACUCUGUAUUCUUCCCUUGGUAUUGAAAACACCUUGUUAACCCCAUGCUCCUCCCUCUGACCUAUAGGGAUUGCAUUUUCAUGGAAAUCUUGGUGAGUGGGAAAGAGUUGCUAGUUUAAGGCAGAAGACUUUCUAACAUAAGUCUGUUCUUUUUGGAAAAAUAAUGCAAGGUUGCUGUGGAAAAUCGGGACACCUGUAAAGAAGGGAGAUCAAAUAACCCAGAGAACUAUAACAUUGUAUUUUCUUUUGGUGUCUUUUUAAAAGCUUUGGGGUGAGCAUGUGUAUGGAUGUGCUUACCAACUUUUAACCAGUGGAAUGAUGCAAGAUUGUUUGGUGGCCUUUAUUUUUUCAACUGAAAACAAAUAAACAAACAAAACUAUUCAUUCUUCUGGAUGUGGGUUUCCCUAGAACUUUUCAGCAGUCCUCCUGUCCCCAUGUUUAGGAUGGCAUGACUGAGAGGGAGAAAGGAAAUGGCCCCACCUUGGGCACUAACUGCUAUGUUGGGUGGCAAUAUGGAGAGAUGACUGGACAGCAGUUCAAGGGGUCUUAGAACACUGAUCUUUUAGCCCAGAGUUGAGAUGUUAUCUCCUCUAGCUUCCCGCUUCCUCACCUUACAAACGCAUCUCCAGUUCAUCUUCAUCUGAACAGUUUAUUACCUCCUCUAUCUCUUCUAUCAAACCUUUGGACUCCAGGGUUCUUACAGGAAAUAUGCCUCUUGUAGCCAUUAGGCCAAAAUUUGGCUCAGAAAUCACCUCAUGAUGCCCCUCCUCUUAGUGUUAAGGAGGAAAAGGAUGGUUUAAGAGCAAGAACCCAUAUUUGGCAGGAGUUUGGGGUAGAAAAUCAAUGCUACUCAUUGACAAAGGGCAGGAAGGAGACUCAAGACAAUGUUCAGGACUUCUCUUGGGAUCAUUUGUCUCCUACUGGGAUUAAGUAGGCUUUCUGAAGGUUAAAAAGUACCACACUUCUCCAGAAUGACGCUGACCCAGGAAUUUAAAUUUAAAUUCCUAAGGAACUGCUCAGUGUGGGUGGUGCCCUCUUUCCUGCUAAUUGCCUUACUUAUGAUUGAUAUUUGUUAUGAGAAACUCUUGACACACCCUCUCCAAAUGUUUGAGCUUUAUCAUUCUGGAAAAAUGUGUCUAAAAUGUGUGAUGUGUAUUAAUUAUGUAUCUACCACUUCCUUAUGUAUUAUCUUGGCAAGGUUUGGGGUAGAAAAGCCAGUUCUAUUGGGUUAGCUUGAUGUAGAAGGCCAAGCCAUCCAUCCAAUGCAGAUUAUCCUGGACAUGAAGUUAGAAACAUGGUUGUCUUUAGGGAGUACCAAUCUGGAAAAGGGCCCAGAUGGCUCCCCUCAUGGUACCAGCCAAUAAUGGAGGUGGAGAGAGAGGAGGACUUAUUGAAUGAGAGUGUGGUUUAUUGAGUUGGUAGUAAAUAAGAUCCAAAGCCUUCAUAUACCAGACUCAUUUCUAGAAGAAAACUUGCCCUUCAUCCUAUUGGAGGUUAUGAGGUGACUUGAUACCAAAACCAUGAGAAUUUCAAGUUGAAUAAAAUAUAGUUUAUUCAUUCAAAAAACAUUUGCCAAGUGCCUUCUGUGUACUAGCAUGUAGCUAUAGAGAUGAACAGUGAAUUACUUCUUUCCUCAAAGAACUUCCAAUCUAGUGCUAAAGUAAUAAAAACUCCAUGAAGCAGGUUGAAAUUAGCACAAUGUUAGAAAUACACAUGAAGUGCUCUUAUAUGGGAAAUAAAAUUAUACAGCUCUGAUGUCUGGCACAUAAAAGACUCCAUAAUAAUUGAAUAAAUGAAUGCAUCAGGGAAGUAUUUUUAAGGGAAAUAUUACAUUUGAACUGAUCACUGAGGACGGGUAGAAUUUUGUUGGGAGCUCACUAUAUAAUUUGUGCAAAGACCCAGAUGUGAAAGUGUUUGAAUGGUUCAAAAAGUGCUAAUAAAUCAUUGGGCUUGGUCUGGGAACACAGCGAAAGGUAGUUGGAGAAGCACAUACCAGGAAGGAUCUUGAAUACUAUGUAAAGAGUUUCAAUGUUAUUCUCCAGAUAAUGGGCAACUAAGCGUCUCUGAAGAGGAAUGCUACACGAUUUGACUGUUUUUAGGAAUAUCAUUCUGAGGGUAUCUCAGGAAAAACUUCAAAGUUGAGACUGGCAAUAUUCAACUCUGAUGGUUUGUAUUCACAUCUGUUAUUGAUUAUUGAGUCUCAAGUGAAACUUGAAAGCAGUCAGGUUUGGUUGUCAUCUUCAUUUCACCUAGAAUAGACUAUACCUGGAGAGGUUUGCCCAGGGUGGCAUGCUGCAUGACACAGAACCAAUACAAGAAGCCCAGUUUCUUCAUUCAUCCAGCCUAAUGCUGUCAGAGCUUUCCUUAAAAAAAAAAAAAAAAAAAAAAAAAAAAAA
rnacentral:lncRNA from 1 species